AGUGAACGCUGGCGGUAGGCCUAACACAUGCAAGUCGAACGGCAGCACAGUAAGAUCUUGCUCUUACGGGUGGCGAGUGGCGGACGGGUGAGGCAUACAUCGGAAUCUACUUUUUCGUGGGGGAUUACGUAGGGAAACUUACGCUAAUACCUCAUACGACCUACGGGUGAAAGCAUGGGAUCUUCGGACCUUGCGCGAUUGAAUGAGCCGAUGUCGGAUUAGCUAGUUGGCGGGGUAAAGGCCCACCAAGGCGACGAUCCGUAGCUGGUCUGAGAGGAUGAUCAGCCACACUGGAACUGAGACACGGUCCAGACUCCUACGGGAGGCAGCAGUGGGGAAUAUUGGACAAUGGGCGAAAGCCUGAUCCAGCCAUACCGCGUGAGUGAAGAAGGUCUUCGGGUUGUAAAGCCCUUUUGUUGGGAAAGAACAGCAGCAGGUUAAUCCACCGCUGUUCUGACGGUACCCAAAGAAUAAGCACCGGCUAACUUCGUG
rnacentral:rRNA from 1 species